rnacentral:lncRNA from 1 species
GAAGAAAGACUGGUAAGAGUGGUGCUGCAGCAGCCACUGUGGCUCCUUCCAUUUCCACUGCCCUGCAGACCCAAAAAACCAAAAGAAAAAGCUAAGCCUACUAUCUCUUUUUUUUUUUUAGUUCGUUUUCUCUUAAAAAAAUAAUCUUACUAUUUAUGAAAAUGUUAAUUAAUUAAUUUGAGUUUUUUACCCGAUUUCGGAUGGGAAAGGGGAGGGGGGCCGCCCAUAUCUUUAGCCGUUCCAUCAUCAUUAAGGACAACAUGAUAUUCGCCACGUGUCAUAGAUGCCAUUUACCCGGACCCGACCAGAUCCGAACCCGACCCGACCCAAAUGACCCAUCGGGGUAGGUAUGGACCCGACCCGACCC